GGAAGAGGAAAGAAGGAGGUCCUGUGGAUCUGUUUUUGCUUCAACAGUGUUUGGACGGGACAGACCCGGGGACUCCCUCUUUCAUCUUCCCAUCCACUC